rnacentral:rRNA from 1 species
GACGUAGGAUGCGAGCGUUGUUCGGAUUUAUUGGGCGUAAAGCGUACGUAGGCGGCUUUUUAAGUCUGGUGUUAAAGCUAGGGGCUCAACCCCUGUGUUGCACUGGAAACUGGAAGGCUUGAGUGUGGUAGGGGAAGGUGGAAUUCCGAGUGUAGCGGUGAAAUGCGUAGAUAUUCGGAAGAACGCCGGUGGCGAAAGCGACCUUCUGGGCCAUUACUGACGCUGAGGUACGAAAGCUUGGGGAGCGAACGGG